rnacentral:rRNA from 1 species
GGGUUGUGAGGUUAAGCGACUAAGCGUACACGGUGGAUGCCCUGGCAGUCAGAGGCGAUGAAGGACGUGCUAAUCUGCGAUAAGCGUCGGUAAGGUGAUAUGAACCGUUAUAACCGGCGAUUUCCGAAUGGGGAAACCCAGUGUGUUUCGACACACUAUCAUUAACUGAAUCCAUAGGUUAAUGAGGCGAACCGGGGGAACUGAAACAUCUAAGUACCCCGAGGAAAAGAAAUCAACCGAGAUUCCCCCAGUAGCGGCGAGCGAACGGGGAGCAGCCCAGAGCCUGAAUCAGUAUGUGUGUUAGUGGAAGCGUCUGGAAAGGCGCGCGAUACAGGGUGACAGCCCCGUACACAAAAAUGCACAUGCUGUGAGCUCGAUGAGUAGGGCGGGACACGUGGUAUCCUGUCUGAAUAUGGGGGGACCAUCCUCCAAGGCUAAAUACUCCUGACUGACCGAUAGUGAACCAGUACCGUGAGGGAAAGGCGAAAAGAACCCCGGCGAGGGGAGUGAAAAAGAACCUGAAACCGUGUACGUACAAGCAGUGGGAGCACGCUUAGGCGUGUGACUGCGUACCUUUUGUAUAAUGGGUCAGCGACUUAUAUUCUGUAGCAAGGUUAACCGAAUAGGGGAGCCGAAGGGAAACCGAGUCUUAACUGGGCGUUAAGUUGCAGGGUAUAGACCCGAAACCCGGUGAUCUAGCCAUGGGCAGGUUGAAGGUUGGGUAACACUAACUGGAGGACCGAACCGACUAAUGUUGAAAAAUUAGCGGAUGACUUGUGGCUGGGGGUGAAAGGCCAAUCAAACCGGGAGAUAGCUGGUUCUCCCCGAAAGCUAUUUAGGUAGCGCCUCGUGAAUUCAUCUCCGGGGGUAGAGCACUGUUUCGGCAAGGGGGUCAUCCCGACUUACCAACCCGAUGCAAACUGCGAAUACCGGAGAAUGUUAUCACGGGAGACACACGGCGGGUGCUAACGUCCGUCGUGAAGAGGGAAACAACCCAGACCGCCAGCUAAGGUCCCAAAGUCAUGGUUAAGUGGGAAACGAUGUGGGAAGGCCCAGACAGCCAGGAUGUUGGCUUAGAAGCAGCCAUCAUUUAAAGAAAGCGUAAUAGCUCACUGGUCGAGUCGGCCUGCGCGGAAGAUGUAACGGGGCUAAACCAUGCACCGAAGCUGCGGCAGCGACACUAUGUGUUGUUGGGUAGGGGAGCGUUCUGUAAGCCUGUGAAGGUGUGCUGUGAGGCAUGCUGGAGGUAUCAGAAGUGCGAAUGCUGACAUAAGUAACGAUAAAGCGGGUGAAAAGCCCGCUCGCCGGAAGACCAAGGGUUCCUGUCCAACGUUAAUCGGGGCAGGGUGAGUCGACCCCUAAGGCGAGGCCGAAAGGCGUAGUCGAUGGGAAACAGGUUAAUAUUCCUGUACUUGGUGUUACUGCGAAGGGGGGACGGAGAAGGCUAUGUUGGCCGGGCGACGGUUGUCCCGGUUUAAGCGUGUAGGCUGGUUUUCCAGGCAAAUCCGGAAAAUCAAGGCUGAGGCGUGAUGACGAGGCACUACGGUGCUGAAGCAACAAAUGCCCUGCUUCCAGGAAAAGCCUCUAAGCAUCAGGUAACAUCAAAUCGUACCCCAAACCGACACAGGUGGUCAGGUAGAGAAUACCAAGGCGCUUGAGAGAACUCGGGUGAAGGAACUAGGCAAAAUGGUGCCGUAACUUCGGGAGAAGGCACGCUGAUAUGUAGGUGAAGUCCCUUGCGGAUGGAGCUGAAAUCAGUCGAAGAUACCAGCUGGCUGCAACUGUUUAUUAAAAACACAGCACUGUGCAAACACGAAAGUGGACGUAUACGGUGUGACGCCUGCCCGGUGCCGGAAGGUUAAUUGAUGGGGUCAGCGCAAGCGAAGCUCUUGAUCGAAGCCCCGGUAAACGGCGGCCGUAACUAUAACGGUCCUAAGGUAGCGAAAUUCCUUGUCGGGUAAGUUCCGACCUGCACGAAUGGCGUAAUGAUGGCCAGGCUGUCUCCACCCGAGACUCAGUGAAAUUGAACUCGCUGUGAAGAUGCAGUGUACCCGCGGCAAGACGGAAAGACCCCGUGAACCUUUACUAUAGCUUGACACUGAACAUUGAGCCUUGAUGUGUAGGAUAGGUGGGAGGCUUUGAAGUGUGGACGCCAGUCUGCAUGGAGCCGACCUUGAAAUACCACCCUUUAAUGUUUGAUGUUCUAACGUUGACCCGUAAUCCGGGUUGCGGACAGUGUCUGGUGGGUAGUUUGACUGGGGCGGUCUCCUCCUAAAGAGUAACGGAGGAGCACGAAGGUUGGCUAAUCCUGGUCGGACAUCAGGAGGUUAGUGCAAUGGCAUAAGCCAGCUUGACUGCGAGCGUGACGGCGCGAGCAGGUGCGAAAGCAGGUCAUAGUGAUCCGGUGGUUCUGAAUGGAAGGGCCAUCGCUCAACGGAUAAAAGGUACUCCGGGGAUAACAGGCUGAUACCGCCCAAGAGUUCAUAUCGACGGCGGUGUUUGGCACCUCGAUGUCGGCUCAUCACAUCCUGGGGCUGAAGUAGGUCCCAAGGGUAUGGCUGUUCGCCAUUUAAAGUGGUACGCGAGCUGGGUUUAGAACGUCGUGAGACAGUUCGGUCCCUAUCUGCCGUGGGCGCUGGAGAACUGAGGGGGGCUGCUCCUAGUACGAGAGGACCGGAGUGGACGCAUCACUGGUGUUCGGGUUGUCAUGCCAAUGGCACUGCCCGGUAGCUAAAUGCGGAAGAGAUAAGUGCUGAAAGCAUCUAAGCACGAAACUUGCCCCGAGAUGAGUUCUCCCUGACCCUUUAAGGGUCCUGAAGGAACGUUGAAGACGACGACGUUGAUAGGCCGGGUGUGUAAGCGCAGCGAUGCGUUGAGCUAACCGGUACUAAUGAACCGUGAGGCUUAACCUUACAACGCCGAAGGUGUUU